AUACGGAGGGUGCGAGCGUUAAUCGGAAUUACUGGGCGUAAAGCGCGCGUAGGCGGCCUGAUCAGUCGGAUGUGAAAGCCCUGGGCUCAACCUGGGAAUUGCAUUCGAAACUGUCAGGCUAGAGUAUGGGAGAGGGAAGUGGAAUUUCCGGUGUAGCGGUGAAAUGCGUAGAUAUCAGAAGGAACACCAGUGGCGAAGGCGACUUCCUGGCCCAAUACUGACGCUCAGGUGCGAAAGCGUGGGUAGCGAACAGGAUUAGAAACCCGGGUAGUCC
rnacentral:rRNA from 1 species